rnacentral:rRNA from 1 species
CCUACGGGAGGCAGCAGUGGGGAAUAUUGGGCAAUGGGCGCAAGCCUGACCCAGCAACGCCGCGUGAAGGAAGACGGCUUUCGGGUUGUAAACUUCUUUUAAGAGGGAAGAGCAGAAGACGGUACCUCUGGAAUAAGACAAGGCUAACUACGUGCCAGCAGCCGCGGUAAUACGGAGGUGGCAAGCGUUGUCCGGAUUUACUGGGUGUAAAGGGCGUGUAGCCGGGAAGACUAGUCAGAUGUGCCAUGCCGCGGCUCCACCGCGGAACUGCCUUUGAAACUGUUAUUCUUGAGUACCGGAGAGGUCAUCGGAAUUCCUUGUGUAGCGGUGAAAUGCGUAGAUAUCAGGCAGAACCCCAGUGGCGAAGGCGGCUGACUGGACCGCAACUGACGGUGAGGCGCGAAAGCGUGGGUAGCAAACAGGAUUAGAUACCCUAGUAGUC